GAUCCUACGGGAGGCAGCAGUGGGGAAUCUUGCGCAAUGGGCGAAAGCCUGACGCAGCAACGCCGCGUGCGGGAUGAAGGCCUUCGGGCUGUAAACCGCUUUCAGCAGGAACGAAAAUGACGGUACCUGCAGAAGAAGGAGGGGCCAACUACGUGCCAGCAGCCGCGGUGACACGUAGGCUCCAAGCGUUGUCCGGAUUUAUUGGGCGUAAAGAGCUCGUAGGCGGUUUAGUAAGUCGGGUGUGAAAACUCUGGGCUUAACCCGGAGACGCCAUCCGAUACUGCUAUGACUUGAGUUCAGGAGGGGAGCGGGGAAUUCCUAGUGUAGCGGUGAAAUGCGCAGAUAUUAGGAGGAACACCGGUGGCGAAGGCGCCGCUCUGGACUGAAACUGACGCUGAGGAGCGAAAGCAUGGGUAGCAAACAGGAUUAGAUACCCUGGUGGUCCAUGCCGUAAACGGUGGGCACUAGGUGUGGGUUCCAACUAACGGGAUCCGCGCCGUCGCUAACGCAUUAAGUGCCCCGCCUGGGGAGUACGGUCGCAAGACUAAAACUCAAAGGAAUUGACGGAUC
rnacentral:rRNA from 1 species